UGAGGUGUCGCCAAGUGGUAAGGCAGCGGUCUUUGACGCCGCUACUCGCAGGUUCGAAUCCUGCCACCUCAG
rnacentral:tRNA from 1 species